rnacentral:rRNA from 1 species
GAGGAAUAAGCAUCGGCUAACUCCGUGCCAGCAGCCGCGGUAAUACGGGGGAUGCAAGCGUUAUCCGGAAUCAUUGGGCGUAAAGCGCCUGUAGGUUGUUUAAUAAGUCUGUUGUUAAAGACUAGGGCUUAACCCUAGAAAAGCAAUGGAAACUACUAGACUAGAGUAUGGCAGGGGUAGAGGGAAUUUCUAGUGUAGCGGUGAAAUGCGUAGAUAUUAGAAAGAACACCAGUGGCGAAAGCGCUCUACUGGACCAUUACUGACACUCAGAGGCGAAAGCUAGGGUAGCAAAAGGGAUUAGAUACCCCUGUAGUCCUAGCCGUAAACGAUGGAUACUAGAUGUUGUGUUUUAUAGACAGUAUCGUAGCUAACGCGUUAAGUAUCCCGCCUGGGGAGUACGCUCGCAAGGGUGAAACUCAAAGGAAUUGACGGGGGCCCGCACAAGCGGUGGAGCAUGUGGUUUAAUUCGAUGCAACGCGAAGAACCUUACCAGGACUUGACAUACUACAAAUUCUUUUGAGAAAAAGAAGUGCCUUCGGGAAUGUAGAUACAGGUGGUGCAUGGCUGUCGUCAGCUCGUGUCGUGAGAUGUUGGGUUAAGUCCCGCAACGAGCGCAACCCUUAUUUUUAGUUACCAAUUCGUUGGGUUCUCUAGAAAGACUGCCGGUGACAAACCGGAGGAAGGUGAGGAUGACGUCAAGUCAGCAUGCCCCUUAUGUCCUGGGCUACACACGUGCUACAAUGGUUAAGACAAAGAGUUGCGAGCUCGCGAGAGUCAGCUAAUCUCAUAAACUUAGCCUAAGUUCAGAUUGUAGGCUGCAACUCGCCUACGUGAAG